AACCUAGCACACCUGCGGUGUGUACCUGCGGAAGGAUCAUUAGAAAAUAGGAAAGUGGACCAAUACCUCUGACAAUGUCCGGUUGUGUACUCCUUGCCAACCGUUAGACCCCAUCUGCCUGCGCGCCAUGGGGGUACAAGCGCCGUCAGAGGCUACAUUGUUGGUCCAGAUUCUCCACACUCUGUGAACUGUGGCUUCGGCCCAAACUAUUAGUGUCUUGAAUGGUUGGCAUGAUAACAU
rnacentral:misc_RNA from 1 species